CACCUCUUGCAUAUUUAGUAUAAGAGGCCCUGCCUGCCCAGUGACAUUAGUUUAACGGCCGCGGUAUCAUGACCGUGCAAAGGUAGCGUAAUCACCUGUCUUUUAAUUAAAGACCCGUAUGAAUGGCAAAACGAGAGUCUAACUGUCUCUUUAAAUUAAUCAGUGAAACUAAUCUUCCCGUGCAGAAGCGGGAAUAAUAUCAUAAGACGAGAAGACCCUAUGGAGCUUUAAAUUUAAUUUAACUAUAACCUUAUUUUUCUCUAUUGGGAAACCUUAUAUCACUAUAGAUUAAUAAAAAUUUUGGGUUGGGGCGACCACGGAAUAGAAAAAAACUUCCGAGAUAAAAUUUUAAGAAGGACACUUCACGAAAUAGAAAAAUAUAACACAUUGACCCAAUAUUUGAUCAACGAACCAAGUUACCCUAGGGAUAACAGCGCAAUCUUCUCCAAGAGUUCUUAUCGACGAGUGGGUUUACGACCUCGAUGUUGGAUCAGGACACCCAAAUGGUGCAGCAGCUAUUAAAGGUUCGUUUGUUCAACGAUUAAAGUCCU
rnacentral:rRNA from 1 species